UACGGGGGGAGCAAGCGUUGUUCGGAUUACUGGCGUAAAGGGCGCGUAGGCGGCGUGACAAGUCACUUGUGAAAUCUCCGGGCUUAACUCGGAACGGUCAAGUGAUACUGUCGGACUAGAGUACAGAAGGGGCAACUGGAAUUCUCGGUGUAGCGGUGAAAUGCGUAGAUAUCGAGAGGAACACCUGCGGCGAAGGCGGGUUGCUGGGCUGAUACUGACGCUGAGGCGCGAAAGCCAGGGGAGCGAACGGG
rnacentral:rRNA from 1 species